GGGGAUUUAGCUCAGUGGUAGAGCGCUUGCCUAGGAAGCGCAAGGCCCUGGGUUGCGCAAGGCCCUGGGUUCGAUCCCCAGCUCCG
rnacentral:tRNA from 1 species